rnacentral:rRNA from 1 species
UUAAGCGACUAAGCGUACACGGUGGAUGCCCUGGCAGUCAGAGGCGAUGAAGGACGUGCUAAUCUGCGAAAAGCGUCGGUAAGGUGAUAUGAACCGUUAUAGCCGGCGAUGUCCGAAUGGGGAAACCCAGUGUGAUUCGUCACACUAUCGUUAACUGAAUACAUAGGUUAACGAGGCGAACCGGGGGAACUGAAACAUCUAAGUACCCCGAGGAAAAGAAAUCAACCGAGAUUCCCCCAGUAGCGGCGAGCGAACGGGGAGCAGCCCAGAGUCUGAAUCAGCUUGUGUGUUAGUGGAACGGUCUGGAAAGUCCGACGGUACAGGGUGAUAGUCCCGUACACCAAAAUGCACAGGCUGUGAACUCGAAGAGUAGGGCGGGACACGUGGUAUCCUGUCUGAAUAUGGGGGGACCAUCCUCCAAGGCUAAAUACUCCUGACUGACCGAUAGUGAACCAGUACCGUGAGGGAAAGGCGAAAAGAACCCCGGCGAGGGGAGUGAAAAAGAACCUGAAACCGUGUACGUACAAGCAGUGGGAGCACCUUCGGGUGUGACUGCGUACCUUUUGUAUAAUGGGUCAGCGACUUAUAUUCUGUAGCAAGGUUAACCGUAUAGGGGAGCCGCAGGGAAACCGAGUCUUAACUGGGCGUUAAGUUGCAGGGUAUAGACCCGAAACCCGGUGAUCUAGCCAUGGGCAGGUUGAAGGUUGGGUAACACUAACUGGAGGACCGAACCGACUAAUGUUGAAAAAUUAGCGGAUGACUUGUGGCUGGGGGUGAAAGGCCAAUCAAACCGGGAGAUAGCUGGUUCUCCCCGAAAGCUAUUUAGGUAGCGCCUCGUGAACUCAUCUUCGGGGGUAGAGCACUGUUUCGGCUAGGGGGUCAUCCCGACUUACCAACCCGAUGCAAACUACGAAUACCGAAGAAUGUUAUCACGGGAGACACACGGCGGGUGCUAACGUCCGUCGUGAAGAGGGAAACAACCCAGACCGCCAGCUAAGGUCCCAAAGUCAUGGUUAAGUGGGAAACGAUGUGGGAAGGCACAGACAGCCAGGAUGUUGGCUUAGAAGCAGCCAUCAUUUAAAGAAAGCGUAAUAGCUCACUGGUCGAGUCGGCCUGCGCGGAAGAUGUAACGGGGCUAAACCAUGCACCGAAGCUGCGGCAGCGACACUAUGUGUUGUUGGGUAGGGGAGCGUUCUGUAAGCCUGCGAAGGUGUGCUGUGAGGCAUGCUGGAGGUAUCAGAAGUGCGAAUGCUGACAUAAGUAACGAUAAAGCGGGUGAAAAGCCCGCUCGCCGGAAGACCAAGGGUUCCUGUCCAACGUUAAUCGGGGCAGGGUGAGUCGACCCCUAAGGCGAGGCCGAAAGGCGUAGUCGAUGGGAAACAGGUUAAUAUUCCUGUACUUGGUGUUACUGCGAAGGGGGGACGGAGAAGGCUAUGUUAGCCGGGCGACGGUUGUCCCGGUUUAAGCAUGUAGGCUGGUUGUCCAGGCAAAUCCGGAUAAUCAAGGCUGAGGUGUGAUGACGAGGCACUACGGUGCUGAAGUAACAAAUGCCCUGCUUCCAGGAAAAGCCUCUAAGCAUCAGGUAACAUCAAAUCGUACCCCAAACCGACACAGGUGGUCAGGUAGAGAAUACCAAGGCGCUUGAGAGAACUCGGGUGAAGGAACUAGGCAAAAUGGUGCCGUAACUUCGGGAGAAGGCACGCUGGUGUGUAGGUGAAGUCCCUGCGGAUGGAGCUGAGACCAGUCGAAGAUACCAGCUGGCUGCAACUGUUUAUUAAAAACACAGCACUGUGCAAACACGAAAGUGGACGUAUACGGUGUGACGCCUGCCCGGUGCCGGAAGGUUAAUUGAUGGGGUUAUCCGUAAGGAGAAGCUCUUGAUCGAAGCCCCGGUAAACGGCGGCCGUAACUAUAACGGUCCUAAGGUAGCGAAAUUCCUUGUCGGGUAAGUUCCGACCUGCACGAAUGGCGUAAUGAUGGCCAGGCUGUCUCCACCCGAGACUCAGUGAAAUUGAACUCGCUGUGAAGAUGCAGUGUACCCGCGGCAAGACGGAAAGACCCCGUGAACCUUUACUAUAGCUUGACACUGAACAUUGAGCCUUGAUGUGUAGGAUAGGUGGGAGGCUUUGAAGCGUGGACGCCAGUCUGCGUGGAGCCAACCUUGAAAUACCACCCUUUAAUGUUUGAUGUUCUAACGUUGGCCCCUGACCGGGGUUGCGGACAGUGUCUGGUGGGUAGUUUGACUGGGGCGGUCUCCUCCCAAAGCGUAACGGAGGAGCACGAAGGUUAGCUAAUCCUGGUCGGACAUCAGGAGGUUAGUGCAAUGGCAUAAGCUAGCUUGACUGCGAGCGUGACGGCGCGAGCAGGUGCGAAAGCAGGUCAUAGUGAUCCGGUGGUUCUGAAUGGAAGGGCCAUCGCUCAACGGAUAAAAGGUACUCCGGGGAUAACAGGCUGAUACCGCCCAAGAGUUCAUAUCGACGGCGGUGUUUGGCACCUCGAUGUCGGCUCAUCACAUCCUGGGGCUGAAGUAGGUCCCAAGGGUAUGGCUGUUCGCCAUUUAAAGUGGUACGCGAGCUGGGUUUAGAACGUCGUGAGACAGUUCGGUCCCUAUCUGCCGUGGGCGCUGGAGAAUUGAGGGGGGCUGCUCCUAGUACGAGAGGACCGGAGUGGACGCAUCACUGGUGUUCGGGUUGUCAUGCCAAUGGCACUGCCCGGUAGCUAAAUGCGGAAGAGAUAAGUGCUGAAAGCAUCUAAGCACGAAACUUGCCCCGAGAUGAGUUCUCCCUGAGACUUUAAGUCUCCUGAAGGAACGUUGAAGACGACGACGUUGAUAGGCCGGGUGUGUAAGCGCAGCGAUGCGUUGAGCUAACCGGUACUAAUGAACCGUGAGGCUUAACCUU